GGGUAUUGGACCUUAUGCCAAAGGUGCAGAUCUUGGUUUUCUUUACAUUGUCCCAGAGCAAAGUUUCCUAGUAUUAUUCAAUCGCCUGAAACUACCAGAAUGAGCCGAUUGUCAUCAUUGGCUUGAUUCUUACACUUAGAUAUGGCAUGUCUUCACGUACUCUGACGUGAGAGAUGGGUUCUUUAAUUGUACCAUGUCCAAGCAAAGAAGGUUGGUUUGCCCUGUUAAGUAAUACAUAUGAUAUCUUAGUUUCUGGCAUUUUGUUUCCACAAAAAUUUGACCUCUUUUU
rnacentral:lncRNA from 1 species